rnacentral:lncRNA from 1 species
GGACGGACAGCGCUGGGGCGCGCUGGGCCUCGGCGCUGCCGCGGAGCCGCGUGGGGCCCGUCCCGCCCGCACGUCUCGGGGUGCCGAGGAAAAGAGGUGCUCUGGGCUCGGCUACAACCCUGCACUGUGACUGGUGAAAGCGUGAACAAAAGUUCUGCUGUACGGGAGAUUUCCUGGAGGUUGGACUGGAAUAUGUCUCUUGGGAAAAUACGUCAUUUUGCCUGAAAGACUCCAAGCAAUGAUGACUUACCACCUCCUCAGGUAUGCUUGGCUUACCUUCUCUUCUCAGCUGCCAUGGUCGCUCUACCCCCACAAGAAAACCAGCUGCCAGGAGCUAUAUGCAUAACGUAUAUGCACUUAACAACACUUUCAUUGUCUUUCUAUCCAAUUGCAAAAGUCAUUUUCUUAGCUCAUUGCUCCGGUCCUGCCACUCCUCUUUUUUUGCAUAAUGCCAUUGGCUCCAUUUCUUCACUGCAUGAAAUAUAUACGAUACAGAUGACUUCUCUUUACUUUUCAAGCCAUGUCUAAUCUACAUCACCAAGAAGUUUCCCUCAUUGCCAUUAUACAAGCGAUACCAGUAUUUUAAGGCAGUAUUGUACAUUCACUUUCAUGCUUUCACCCAUGCUACUGAUUAUGCAUAGCACAAAAUCUGUGUAAUACCCCUAAACCCUUCUUUCUCUGCUUUUUCAACCAUCAAGUCUCUGCCUCAAGCUUUGUCAGAGCCCAAGCAUGGCUACAUAACUCUUUUGCUGGAGAUGCUUUUUCAUAUGAAUCAGUUAUAACCUCUUCCUGCUCAUCUUCUCUCUAUAAGGCACUUCAAAGGCAAAAUAGUUUGUUGGUUUCAUGUCUGUAGUGCAAGCUACAGUGAGGAUGGGUUUAGGUGUAAUUUUAAGAGUAGCAUUAACAACAAAAAUACAGUAAACCAAAUUAUUUGUCUUGUUUCUAAGUCUGCAAGGUACUUCCAGGGAGUAGUUUCAGUAUAAGCUGUUUAAUUUGCCAUACUAAAGUUGCUUAAGUCUGUGGAUUCCAGGCGUAAAUUUGCCGCAGGGACUAAGAGACAAAGAGGGGGACUGGAACGGUGCCUUUUCUGACAGAUGACUGUUACUGGCUUAGUAGAAUUACCAGAAUGCACCCUGAGGGGCUGUAGUCAUUCUGUUUGAUUCACUCAGUGAGAACCAUGCUCAGCAUGGAGCCAUGGGGGCAUGGUGAUGUGAUUUACAGGUCCCUUACCAGGAUCAUAGUCAAAGUCACCCACAGUGCUGCCUGGACAAACAUCUGGCCACAUUUCUGUUAGUAUGGAGCUGUGAGUGGUUCUGCAAAAUUCUGUUUUAUGGAGAGGUAAUAUAAAAUGGCAUUUCCCCUUGUUUCUGUUUCUUUUGGAAAUUAUGUUAUUUUGUCAUCUCAUGUGUAGGUAGAGUAAAGUAAAUAAUAUAGAGUAAAGGAUAUUAUAUUAUAAAUUAUACUUUUCAAAAACCACUUUAAAGGGUUAAUUAAUUCUAUUAAUUAGAAUAAUAGUCAGGGUAUGCAAUUUAAGAUUCUUAGAGACUUAAGAUAUCACUGAGCUAGAGAAAUGAGAUCUACAUGCUUUCAAUAUUUAGCAGCUAGAAGAUCACAUUUUCAUUCAUGACCGCAAAGUGUGUGUUUUAUUCAGGAAAAAUGAGUCUUGUCAAAUAGCUUUCAUAUUGUUCUUUGGCAAGAUUACAAGUAAAUUUGAUAAACAUGACUCUAUUGACAUAAUACACUAGUUUAUGUAGGACAUUUUUUUUAUUCUGUGUGGCAGCAUGCAUUGAAGAGAUGUAUGGGAACCAAAAAAUUUAAGAAGUAUUUUUCUAUAUGGUUGUUUGCCAUGUCACAGCUCCCUGCAAUAUGCCUGCCUCCUUUCUGUGUUUUUACUUUAUUGCCUUAUAAUGCCUGUAGUUUAAAAAUGCCCUGUCUUUGCAUAAUGUCUAACAUCUUGAAGUAUUCAGAAUACCAAACAAUGGGCACUGGAACCAAACCAGUUUGUCAAGGAUCUGUCCUUUUCUAGUUACACUUCAAAACUCUAAGGUAGUCACAUUUUCUGUAUUUUAUAAAAUAAGUAUUAUCAGGUUCCUAAUUGAACGAAUCAGUGAUGCAACCAUGCAAUAAAGCUCAUGAACUGCUGAGCCCAGUGCACGGCAUUACUCUAUCCAGUGCACAGUGGAUAAAUAUACCUUUAAAAAUAUCCAGCUAUCAUUUUCAUGCUGUUGGACUAAUCACAAGAGAAUCUGUAGACUGAAUAGUGAAAGGGUGAAAACUACUCUUAAAGCCCCCAAUAAGAGUGAGCCCUCAGUAGUGUGAACAUGCAAGAUGAGAAGAGAGCUUCAGUUCCUCUGUGGUCUUGAUGAGUCCCUGAUGCCAUUCACUGAUACUAAGUUAUACAAAGUUUAAUCUCUGAUGUCAGUACAAUUCUCAGCAGAUGUCUUAGUAAUUUCUCCAUGCAGGCAGUGAAAGGCAAAAGAAUUUUUUUUUCCCUAGCAUUCAGGAACAAAUAGCACUGAUAAUAAAAUGUCUUUUUACUUGUCUACUAGUCUGGCUAAUGAAGAUGACGGGCCAUGAAGUUUCAGAGUAUUUAUGAUUUUAAAAGGUGGAGUAUACACCCAGUAAUCACCUAUAGAUAGCUGACUCUAGUGUUCAGGAAUACUUGAUUCCCAAGCUGCAAACCCUAUUAUUCAUCUGGGUAUUAAGUGUUGAUUCUACCAGGUACAUGGUGAAAAGGUCUUUGACUUAAGUCAUUCAAAUGACAUACACAUUCUAUGAGCAAAUCACACAGACAAAAUCUCUGACUACAAGUGAGGAAGGCUCUCUCCUUCGUACUGGAAAAAGUCUCAAAGGUUACACAUUAUUGUCUUUCUAGUCAUGAAUGUGUAGAGAGCUGGGGCCCUGAAUAUUUGGUUGGUGAGUGUAGGAAACGAAUCAAUACAGAAUUACUUUUUGUAAGAUCUGUUCAUUUGUCAGCAGUCAAAACAUUACAUUUUCUUCAAAAGUAUAUUUUGAUUGAGACAGUACUAUAAUAAUACAGGCAUUGUGUAUUUAUUUUUAUUAAACUAAAAAUGGUACUAUUUUCUAUGAGAGACAAAAUUAAAUACACUUUUUAGUGGCUUGUAAUAAUCUGAUAUCUCCUAAAGUAACAAAGUGCAACCUGAAUUGUGUUAAAGGAAGUUUCUUUGGAUUGUGAAUAUGUCUGUAACAAGUGGCUAGUGUUAUCAACAGAGCUUUUAAGUGAAGGCUUUACUGUUAUAGGCUUGUCUGACUUGGAUAACAAACUCUUUUAGUAUUUCAGCCCAUAAAUCCUGAACAGAAAGAUACUAUUCUCUUGUGUCUCUGACAAACUAAAAGAGAAUCUUUGUUUGCAGAGCUCCCCAGAGUUAACACAGUACUAGUUAAUGAUUUCACCAUCGUAAUUACUUUCUAGGCUCUGUCUGUCAGGCAGAAUGGGCUGCAUCAAUUUUGUGCAACAUUACUGUUUUACCUGGUUUCAUGCUACUUGUCUAUCAACCUGUCCAUAGCAAAUUCUGAAUAUAUGGACCAAUUUAUCAUAGAAUUCUAGAAUCCUAGAAUGGUUUGGGUUGCAAGGGACCUUAAAUAUUUAUAUCAUUUAGUUCCAACCCCCCCCCUGUUAUGGGCAGUGACACUUUCUACUAGACCAGGUUGCUCCGAACCUCAUCCAACUUAACCUUCAGCAAUUCCAGGAAUGGUGCAUCUGCGAUUGCUCAGGGCAACCUGUUCCAAUGUCUUGCCACCCUCACUGUAAAGAUUUUUUUCCUAAUAUCUAGUCUAAACCUACUCUCAGUUUAAAGCCAUUCCCCCUUGUCCUAUUGUCCUAGGGUGACGUUAUGGUGUUUGUAUCUCCAAUCGUGUGUUCUGUUUACGAUUGAUAUUAUGUUCUGUGCUUUCAGAACUGACUCUGAAAGUGAAGGUUUGUUUUGCCAUGUUAUCAUCUGCUUCACCUCCCCCCAUGGUCUGCUGUCUAGAAAAGGCUAGGGCUGGCUGACUGGCUUUACUUUGCUUGCUUAGCUUGCUUCUGCUUUUGCCUUUGCUUCCUAGUUAGGUUAGCUAAGCAGUCCAAUUCUUUCCCUGGACUGUUGCUUUUUCCUUUCCUCUUCCUGAAUACCAUCCAACCUGCUCUGGACUGGGAUCUGGGAAACACCAAGGAACACCAGGAGCCUGCAUUUUGUGAUCUGCAGCAGCCAUCCCCAGUGCUGGAGAGCAAUCCCCAGCGUCCAGACCCGGGUGACCACUCCCAGGAAAGACUUUCUGGAUUUGUUCAUCUCUUCAGAGGGGUGAAAGAGUUUUGUUGUCAUCUGGUGUUGUUAAUUGUUUUGGUGCUGGGGAGUGUUUUGUUCGUUGAAUAAA